rnacentral:piRNA from 1 species
UAACUAAAGCAGAGGUCUGUCCCCCCAGGGAGGGGAGGUC